CAGCGAUUCAACUACAGCUCCAGCCCCGGUCAGUUACUACAAAAUGGCUGCAGAGGAUUCGCCGCCGAGGAGAACAUACUGAUCGCUUCAUGCUGUGAGGUAAUUGAAACAAAGAGGAGGAUUAGCUGGUUUGACACAGAGGUGAAGAAAAGCAAGGAGCUGCUCCAUCAAAGGCCACAGAACAGAUAACCAAAGACGCAUGUGUGCCAGUUAUUCACUGCUCCACUGCGCACACAGGGGAUGGCGGCCAGCAGCAAAGCACAGCUCUUUGAAACUCAUA